rnacentral:rRNA from 1 species
UGACCUCAGAUCAGACGAGGAUACCCGCUGAACUUAAGCAUAUCAAUAAGCGGAGGAAAAGAAACCAACAGGGAUUGCCUCAGUAACGGCGAGUGAAGCGGCAAGAGCUCAAAUUUGAAAUCUGGCUCCUUUGGUGCCCGAGUUGUAAUUUGAAGAGGAUGCCUCGGUUGCGGUCCCGGCCUAAGUUCUUUGGAACAAGACGUCGCAGAGGGUGAGAAUCCCGUACGCGGCUGGCGGCCUGCUUCCAUGUGUGGCUCCUUCGAAGAGUCGAGUUGUUUGGGAAUGCAGCUCAAAAUGGGUGGUAAAUUUCAUCUAAAGCUAAAUACUGGCGAGAGACCGAUAGCGCACAAGUAGAGUGAUCGAAAGAUGAAAAGCACUUUGAAAAGAGAGUUAAACAGUACGUGAAAUUGUUGAAAGGGAAGCGCUUGCAAUCAGACUCGCUAGCGGUUGAUCAACGUUCCUUCUGGUGCGUGCACUCUUCCGCCUGCGGGCCAGCAUCGGUUGGCGCGGCGGGACAAAGGCGUCGGGAAUGUGGCUCUCUUCGGGGAGUGUUAUAGCCCGGCGUGCAAUGCCGCCAGCUGCCGACCGAGGUCCGCGCUUCGGCUAGGAUGCUGGC